UCGAGGGGCAGCACGAUGUAGCAAUACAUUGGUGGCGACCGGCGCACGGGUGAGUAACGCGUAUGCAACCUACCUAUCAGAGGGGAAUAACCCGGCGAAAGUCGGACUAAUACCGCAUAAAACAGGGGUUCCACAUGGAAAUAUUUGUUAAAGAAUUAUCGCUGAUAGAUGGGCAUGCGUUCCAUUAGAUAGUUGGUGAGGUAACGGCUCACCAAGUCCACGAUGGAUAGGGGUUCUGAGAGGAAGGUCCCCCACACUGGUACUGAGACACGGACCAGACUCCUACGGGAGGCAGCAGUGAGGAAUAUUGGUCAAUGGGCGAGAGCCUGAACCUGCCAAGUCGCGUGAAGGAUGAAGGAUCUAUGGUUUGUAAACUUCUUUUAUAUGGGAAUAAAGUGAGGAACGUGUUCCUUUUUGUAUGUACCAUAUGAAUAAGCAUCGGCUAACUCCGUGCCAGCAGCCGCGGUAAUACGGAGGAUGCGAGCGUUAUCCGGAUUUAUUGGGUUUAAAGGGUGCGUAGGUGGUUAAUUAAGUCAGCGGUGAAAGUUUGUGGCUCAACCAUAAAAUUGCCGUUGAAACUGGUUGACUUGAGUAUAUUUGAGGUAGGCGGAAUGCGUGGUGUAGCGGUGAAAUGCACAGAUAUCACGCAGAACUCCGAUUGCGAAGGCAGCUUACUAAACUAUAACUGACACUGAAGCACGAAAGCGUGGGGAUCAAACAGGAUUAGAUACCCUGGUAGUCCACGCAGUAAACGAUGAUUACUAGCUGUUUGCGAUACACAGUAAGCGGCACAGCGAAAGCGUUA
rnacentral:rRNA from 1 species